rnacentral:rRNA from 1 species
UACGGAGGGAGCUAGCGUUAUUCGGAAUUACUGGGCGUAAAGCGCACGUAGGCGGCUUUGUAAGUUAGAGGUGAAAGCCUGGAGCUCAACUCCAGAAUUGCCUUUAAGACUGCAUCGCUUGAAUCCAGGAGAGGUGAGUGGAAUUCCGAGUGUAGAGGUGAAAUUCGUAGAUAUUCGGAAGAACACCAGUGGCGAAGGCGGCUCACUGGACUGGUAUUGACGCUGAGGUGCGAAAGCUAGGGGAGCGAACGGG